AUUGAACGCUGGCGGCAGGCCUAACACAAGCAAGUCGAACGGUAACAGGAAGCAGCUUGCUGCUUUGCUGACGAGUGGCGGACGGGUGAGUAAUGUCUGGGAAACUGCCUGAUGGAGGGGGAUAACUACUGGAAACGGUAGCUAAUACCGCAUAACGUCGCAAGACCAAAGAGGGGGACCUUAGGGCCUCUUGCCAUCGGAUGUGCCCAGAUGGGAUUAGCUAGUAGGUGGGGUAACGGCUCACCUAGGCGACGAUCCCUAGCUGGUCUGAGAGGAUGACCAGCCACACUGGAACUGAGACACGGUCCAGACUCCUACGGGAGGCAGCAGUGGGGAAUAUUGCACAAUGGGCGCAAGCCUGAUGCAGCCAUGCCGCGUGUAUGAAGAAGGCCUUCGGGUUGUAAAGUACUUUCAGCGGGGAGGAAGGGAGUAAAGUUAAUACCUUUGCUCAUUGACGUUACCCGCAGAAGAAGCACCGGCUAACUCCGUG
rnacentral:rRNA from 1 species